rnacentral:rRNA from 1 species
UCUCUCUUGAGUGAAUCCUGAGUACGACGGAGCACGUGAAAUUCCGUCGGAAUCUGGGAGGACCAUCUCCUAAGGCUAAAUACUCUCUAGUGACCGAUAGUGAACCAGUACCGUGAGGGAAAGGUGAAAAGCACCCCGGAAGGGGAGUGAAAUAGAACCUGAAACCGUGUGCUUACAAGUAGUCAGAGCCCGUUAAUGGGUGAUGGCGUGCCUUUUGUAGAAUGAACCGGCGAGUUACGAUUUGAUGCAAGGUUAAGCAGUAAAUGUGGAGCCGUAGCGAAAGCGAGUCUGAAUAGGGCGUUUAGUAUUUGGUCGUAGACCCGAAACCAGGUGAUCUACCCUUGGUCAGGUUGAAGUUCAGGUAACACUGAAUGGAGGACCGAACCGACUUACGUUGAAAAGUGAGCGGAUGAACUGAGGGUAGCGGAGAAAUUCCAAUCGAACCUGGAGAUAGCUGGUUCUCUCCGAAAUAGCUUUAGGGCUAGCCUCAAGUGAUGAUUAUUGGAGGUAGAGCACUGUUUGGACGAGGGGCCCCUCUCGGGUUACCGAAUUCAGACAAACUCCGAAUGCCAAUUAAUUUAACUUGGGAGUC